AGAUGCAUGGUACCUUAGCGCGUGCUUUGUAUUUAGGCAACUUCAAAUGUUUAAUGUACAGCUACAGUAUGUCGGUGUGAAUUGAAUACUAAAGUAUAUUCUUUUCUGUAUUUUGCAGUUUCACAACAUAAACGUUUUCAAUAUAUUCAUUCAAGAAAAGUCACGCCUUGGGAGUUUUAUUGAAGACUUAGUUGUUAGCUAUCUGUCUAGUUUUGCAUGGGAACGCAACUCAAGGGCAGAAUACUUGACAGCACUGUGACAGGGGUCAACAUCUCACAGCUGGUUGAACUGGAGGAUGGUACGGGGCUGGUGGAAAGCUAUGGCUGGGAACAACACCUAACUCCGUACUUCAGGCCGCUGCCACAGAUCAAGCAGUACCAGCACUUCAGGUCCCAGACGUGCUCAAUGGGAUUGAGAUCCGGGCUCUUCGCUGGCCAUGGCAGAACACUGACAUUCCUGUCUUGCAGGAAGGCACAGAACGAGCAGUAUGGCUGGUGGCAUUGUCAUGCUGGAGAGUCAUGUCAGGAUGAGCCUGCAGGAAGGGUACCACAUGAGGGAGGAGGAUGUCUUCCCUGUAACGCACAGCGUUGAGAUUGCCUGCAAUGACAACAAGCUCAACGCUCAUUCCUUUGACGAUAAUCGUGAAUCCGACCAUCAUCCCUGUUGAGGAGAGCACAUUGUCAGAGAAGAGCACUUUUUGCUAGUCCUGUCUGGUCCAGCGACGGUAGGUUUGUGCCCAUAGGCGACGUUGUUGCCGGUGAUGUCUGGUGAGGACCUGUCUUACAACAGGCUUACAAGCCCUCAGUCCAGCCUCUCUCAGCCUAUUGCGGACAGUCUGAGCACUGAUAGAGGGAUUGUUGUUUGUUGUGGAGGGAUUGUUGUUGAUUGUUGUUGCCAUCCUGUACCUGUACCGCAGGUGUGAUUUUCGGAUGUACCGAUCCUGCGUAGGUGUUGUUACAUGUGGUCUGCCACUGUGAGAACGAUCAGCUGUCUGUCCUGUCUCCCUGUAGCGCUGUCUUAGGAGUCUCAGAGUACGGAGAUUGCAAUUUAUUGCCCUGGCCACAUCUGCAGUCCUCAUGCCUCCUUGCAGCAUGCCUAAGGCACGUUUACGCAGAUGAACAGGGACCCUGGGCAUCUUUCUUUUGGUAUUUUUCAGAGUCAGUAGAAAGGCCUCUUUAGUGUCCUAAGUUUUCAUAACUGUGACCUUGAUUGCCUAACGUCUGUAAGCUGUUAGUGUCUUAACGAC